rnacentral:rRNA from 1 species
CCAAUAGCGUAUAUUAAAGUUGUUGCAGUUAAAAAGCUCGUAGUUGAACUUCGGGGUCUACCCAUUGGUCAGGCUUAAUUGUCUGUACUGGUGAGAUGGAUCUCUACCUUCUGAGGAACUUUCAUGCCAUUUAUUUGGUGUGAUGGGAAAUCAGGACUGUUACUUUGAAAAAAUUAGAGUGUUUAAAGCAGACUAUCGUCUGAAUACAUUAGCAUGGAAUAAUGAAAUAGGACGGACUGAUUCUAUUUCGUUGGUUUUUAGGAUCACCGUAAUGAUUAAUAGGGAUAGUUGGGGGCAGUAGUAGUCAAUUGUCAGAGGUGAAAUUCUUGGAUUUAUUGAAGACUAACUACUGCGAAAGCAUUUGCCAAGGAUGUUUUCAUUAAUCAAGAAAGAAAGUUAGGGGAUCGAAGACGAUCAGAUACCGUCGUAGUCUUAACCAUAAACUAUGCCGACUAGGGAUCGGACGAAGUUAAUUUUAUAAUGACGCGUUCGGCACCUUACG